UAUCUGCCAUGAAAAAAAAUAGUCAUUAUAGAACUUAAUGCUGGCAGAGGUUGCUCAGGGAGAUCAUGGAGUCUCCCUAUGUGAAGAUCUUCAAAAGUUUCCUAGGCAUGGUCUUGAAAACCCUACUCUGGGUGCCCCUGCUGGAGCAGGAGUUGGACCAGUUGACCUCUGGAGGUCCCUUCCAAGUUCAGCUAUUCUGUGAUUCUGUGAACAGGGAAGAUGAGCUAGAACCAACUGUACAGGAAAUUAAUAUAUUCAGAUCUAACUGGAUAAUACCAUUUGUAGAGCAUGGUAAUUUGUACCAGAAUGAAACAUCAAUUUUACGUCCACAUGAGACUGUCCUCUCUCCUUUAAGUUGUAUUAUGUAUUUUGUCCCUAGAAAUACUUGAGAAUAUGUCUUCUUACUAGUCAUAGGCAUAGGCAUUUGGCUGAAGGCAAAUUGUAGCGGAGAGUAGGACUGAGAAAUGAAGGAUAAAAAUAGGAAUGGGAAUAUGCAUGAACAGACAGAGAGAUAAACUAGAAUUAUAUUGGAUUCAUCGAUUUCUUGUGAAUUAUUCCUAACUUGCCCAGCAGGAAGAAUAUCAGGCCCAACAAUUCAUAGCUAAUAUUUGAUUCAGAAAUGUCAGAGCAGAAGGGAACAUCAGCACUGAAUAAGGUGUUUUCCCUAAUGAAUACAUAGAUAUUAUUAGGAUUUAACUCUUUAUUUUAUAAUCAGUACAGUCACUGGAAUUAAAUAUAAAACCAACUGCUUCAGAUAAAGCCAUCACCAGUCAUGAUAGUCAUGUUUCAUGCAGUAGCUUUCAUUAUAGUAUAGGCAAGCAAUGACUUUGUUUUUGCAGUACCAAAACCUCCCACUCUAUAAUCUACAUCAGAAUAGAGGUUUUCAACAUUUCUCCAAAACUGACAAGGAGAGAACAGCAGCAAGAACUGCAAACAAAGAACACUUCAGUUUUGAAAAGCUCCUGCAAAAUAUGGAACAUUAUGAAAGGUGUGUUUCAGAUAAGUCCCAGUGCACCAGGUAGAAGUUUUCAACUAGAAAAAUCAUAUUGUUGUAGAAUUUGGAUAUAUUUAUGCAUUUUAAGUCCAAAGUCAUAAUUCAAGUAUUGUCUUGUCCUUGUAAAAAAAAUGAAAUAAAUGCAAGUUCUACAGUUAUGCAAUUUAUGAGGAAUUUUUUAGUCAUUGUCCAGAGAUUAUGAUGAGGAGAGAGACAAAAUCUUCUUUUCAGAAUAUUAGUUCUAAAACUGUGGUGCUAGAGAUAGUAAAUGGAAGACCCUCUGGUCAUUUAUUUGCUUUCUGACAAGUAACCUGUUGUUAUCUAACUCACCUUCCUCUUUAUCAUAUUCUCUAUUCCUUUCACAUACUAAUGGUUUUUAUACAAUAAUAAUGUUUUACAUUUCACUGUACUCUCUGAUAUAGUAGCGACUCAAAAUAAAAGUGAAGCCAAAAAUAGUACUGAAAAAAA
ensembl:lncRNA